CGAUCGACUCACAGCGUCUAGCACAUUCUGCGGAUCGAGGCCGACUAGAGCCGAGGUCUGCCGAACUCCCCUCGCAAGCUUAGUGGACUCGCCCGACCCGCUCGAGGUUAGAAGGGGAGGGGGUAACGGUAGAGAAAGAGUAUCGAAGGGGAAGGGAGAAACUCUCAACGGUACGUGCGCCGCACAUGAGAGAGAGAAAGAGAGAAAGCAAAAGGAGGAGAGUGUGAUUGAGUGACCGAGGACGAGAGGGGUAGGGAGAAGAGGGAGAAAAGAGCAAGCGCAAUGGAGGUAGAAAAGAGAGACGGCACGACCAGGAGCGCCGUCCUCGGAACAAGAAAGCUGCCUGCCUGCUUGCCUGCCUGCCGCCUGCCUGCUAGCCAGCCACCCCAAGUUCCCUUCUAGACAGUUUUUCGAGUAUGGACGACUGGCGCUAGAUACCUUCAUCGGUGAUUUAUCAAGCAUGUAUGCACGUAGAGAUCCGGUAGACGUGGAGUAGUGGGCCAACGAUAUUCGAUGAAUCAAGGUCGAUCGAAGGGAAGGAAAGGAAGCAGAGAAGAAGCCAUCGGGCCGGGAUUCUGCCGUGACGCAGAAAAAUCAAAUUAAACAGCCGCUUUUAAGUCGAAUUAAAACGAAUGCGCUUAAUUAAAGCGGCCUCCGCCGCUCAACUAAAGGAGUUUUAUUGACAGCGACCGACUCUUCCUUUGUCGGCCCCCACUGUGUACCCUUUCAUUAUUACGUUAAAAGAUGCCCUCGAAUUUUUUUCUUUUAGUUUUUGCCGCAAAUAACGCUGCAUUUUUUUUCUCUCCGUCAAACACCGCGGCUUUAUAUUUUCUCUCUCUCUCUCUCUCUUCCUUUUUUUCCCCCCAGUUUUCCUCUCUACGAGUACGAAAUGUUUCGUUUCUUUGUCAUUUUUUUUCAGGGGUAUUUCGAAGCGAGAUUUUUGCUCUAGUCGUUUUUGCGGAAACGUGGAUUCACGGCUCUUUUAACGAAAAGAAAAAAAAAAAAAAA